UGCGUACGGAAUGACGUGGGACGGUAAAGGGCGUGUAGGCGGUUUACACAGUCAGAUGUGAAAUCCCCGGGCUUAACCUGGGAGCUGCAUUUGAUACGUGUAGACUAGAGUGUGAGAGAGGGUUGUGGAAUUCCCAGUGUAGAGGUGAAAUUCGUAGAUAUUGGGAAGAACACCGGUGGCGAAGGCGGCAACCUGGCUCAUGACUGACGCUGAGGCGCGAAAGCGUGGGGAGC
rnacentral:rRNA from 1 species